CCUACGGGUGACAGCAGUGGGGAAUAUUGCACAAUGGGGGAAAGCCUGAUGCAGCGACGCCGCGUGAGGGAAGAAGUAAUUCGUUAUGUAAAGCUCUAUCAGCAGGGAAGAAAAUAACGGUACAUGAGUAAGAAGCCCCGGCGCAGUCCGUGCCAGCGGCCGCGGGAAUACGUGGGGGGCACGCGUGGUCCGGAUGUACGGGGGGUAGGGGGAGCGUAGACGGGGGUGCAAGUCUGGAGUGAAAGGGCGUGGCUCAACCCCCGGACUGCACUUGAAACUGUACGGCUGGAGUGCAGGAGAGGUAAGUGGAAUUCCUAGUGUAGCGGUGAAAUGCGUAGAUAUUAGGAGGAACACCAGUGGCGAAGGCGGCUUACUGGACUGUAACUGACGUUGAGGCUCGAAAGCGUGGGGAGCAAACAGGAUUAGAUACCCCUGUAGUC
rnacentral:rRNA from 1 species